rnacentral:tRNA from 1 species
GGAGGGAUGGCCGAGUGGUUUAAGGCGGCGGUCUUGAAAACCGCUGUGUCUUUACGGGCACCGGGGGUUCGAAUCCCUCUCCCUCCG